rnacentral:rRNA from 1 species
UACGAAGGGGGCUAGCGUUGCUCGGAAUCACUGGGCGUAAAGGGUGCGUAGGCGGGUCUUUAAGUCAGGGGUGAAAUCCUGGAGCUCAACUCCAGAACUGCCUUUGAUACUGAAGAUCUUGAGUUCGGGAGAGGUGAGUGGAACUGCGAGUGUAGAGGUGAAAUUCGUAGAUAUUCGCAAGUACACCAGUGGCGAAGGCGGCUCACUGGCCCGAUACUGACGCUGAGGCACGAAAGCGUGGGGAGCAAACAGG